UCUCAGCAGCCUGAUCAAUCAGUGGCUUCGCCCCGGUAUCAGCAGCAGGUCCCAACAUCCCCACACGAAGUAGUGAAUCAAGUGUGUGGCCUUAUCCUUUAUAUGGUCCGUCCUCUCCCCUACAGGGCCCCGUACGGCCUCUUAUAAAUCCUUAAAAUCCUUACGGGAACCACCGUAACAGGCCUUCGGCCGGUCCGGGGGCGGCCCCGUACGGGGCGCUUCGCGCCCCCAAAUCCUUACGGGAGCCACCGAAAAGUCCUACGGCCCUGACGGGGAUACCGAAAAAAGGCCAAAAACUUACGGGCCCCGU
rnacentral:lncRNA from 1 species